GAUGAACGCUGGCGGCGUGCCUAAUACAUGCAAGUCGAGCGAAGCGGGGACGGGUGAGUAACACGUGGAUAACCUCCUCUAAGACUGGGAUAACUUCGGGAAACCGGAGCUAAACCAGAUACUUAUAGAUGGAUCCGCGCUGCAUUAGCUAGUUGGUAAUGUAAAGGCUUACCAAGGCAACGAUGCAUAGCCGACCUGAGAGAUGGAUCGGCCACACUGUAACAGAGACACGGUGCAGACUCCUACGGGAAGCAGCAGUAGGGAAUCUUCCGCAAUGGGCGAAAGCCUGACGGAGCAAUGCCGCGUGAGUGAUGGAGGCCUUCGGAUCGUAAAACUAUGUUAUUAGGGAAGCGGUACCUAAUCAGAAAGCCACGGCUAACGACGUGCCAGCAGCCGCGGAAUAC
rnacentral:rRNA from 1 species